GACCCGAUGGCACAGUUGGUUAGUGCGUCUGCUAAUCCAUGACAUUUUGGACAAGUGGGCAAGUUCAGCAGGAGGCCCCCGUUCGAUCCGGGGUCGGGUCA